UACGUAGGGUGCGAGCGUUGUCCGGAUUUACUGGGCGUAAAGGGCUCGUAGGCGGCCAACUAAGUCAGACGUGAAAUCCCUCGGCUUAACCGGGGAACUGCGUCUGAUACUGGAUGGCUUGAGAUUGGGAGAGGGAUGCGGAAUUCCAGGUGUAGCGGUGAAAUGCGUAGAUAUCUGGAGGAACACCGGUGGCGAAGGCGGCAUCCUGGACCAACGCUGACGCUGAGGAGCGAAAGCCAGGGGGGCAAACGGG
rnacentral:rRNA from 1 species